UUCUUCUUCUACUAACUACUUGCUCAUGCUAGUUUUAGAGAAAAAAGCUGUGGAAAACUCAGCCAGAAGCUAGAAAGUUUCAAGUGAAUCCACAACAUCACCACAAAUGUAUUUUCAAGCAAGUAGGGUGAAAAUAUAUUUGGACAUUUUUAUGGAUAACUGUCACGGAUAUCAUCCUCUUCGUCUGAAGAGGAGUAGCAAGGAUCGGACCAAUACGCAGUGUGGUAAGUGUCCAUGUUUUAAUAGUAUAAACUGAACACGACAGAAUACAAAAUAACAAAGUGAAUAUAAACGAAACAGUCCCGUGUGGCACAAACACUGACACAGGAAACAAUCACCCACAAAAUACCCAAAGCAUAUGGCUGCCUAAAUAUGGUUCCCAAUCAGAGACAACGAUAAACAGCUGCCUCUAAUUGAGAACCAAUCUAGGCAACCAUAGACAUACAAAAACCCCUAGACUGGUCCCCAACCCCAUAAACAUACAAAACCCCUAGACAGGACAAAAAUAUAAUCACCCAUGUCACACCCUGACCUAACCAAAAAUAUAAAGAAAACAAAGAUAACUAAGGUCAGGGCGUGACAAUAACAUUAGCAUAAUGUUUUCUGUUAGAGUGGUGAGGAGGAAGACUGGAGAGGAAGAAGAGUGAAAGAGAUAGAGGAGGAAAGGUAAAGAUAUGAUUACAGAGCUUGCUAAUUUAUUAUUACAAACAAUGUUUUUGAGAUAAAAUACAAAAAUGAGGCAAGCAAUGGGAAUCUGUUAACCAAAGUAUUUGAUCUAAUAGUGUACUAUUUAUAAUUAAAGAUUGGAGAGGAAGGAGAAGGAAAAAUUAAGGGAGUAAAAGAAUGAAGUGAGGAGAGUAGAAGAGUGAGGUGGAAAGGUAAAGAGAAGGAAAGGAAGAAAAAGCAGGAAGAUGAGUGAAAAAAAAGAGGAGGAGAAGAAAAAAUUAAGAGAGUAAGAAGAGUGACACAAGGAGAGUGAAGAAGAACAGACAGAGGAGGUACAAUGGCUCAUUCCAAGAAACGUAAAUGCCAUUUUGAUGACAACAUGAUGAGAGAAUUUCCAUCCAGGUCAAGACGAUAGAAUGGUUAACUGCACCCUUUGUAAUUCCUCUUUUUCAAUAGGCAGCGGGGGAAGAACGGCAGCGGUAGAACAUCAACAGAAGAAAAAGCAUAAAGCCUCUCUGAUUGGCCGUGUUGGUAUGCCCUCUGUCACCACAUUCUUCAAGAAGGUAGAGCCUUCCCAAGAAGAACAUGAUUUAGCUGUGCAGGAGGGUGUCUUUGCAUACCACACUAUGCGACACAAUCAUAGUUACUGAUCUAUGGACUGCACAGCACAACUGACAUGGAAGCUUGAUAAGCUGAAGUUUACAUGUGCUAGGACAAAAUGUGAAGCCAUAGUGAGUAAUGUGUUAGCACCAUGGGCAACUACUUUGGUAACAGAGGACCUAGACCAGGUUGAAUUUGUGUCCCUGUCCAUUGAUGCGUCCAAUGAUGGACAUGUAAAGCUGCUGCCAAUAGUAGUCAGAUAUUGUAAGAUAUAUGAUGGUAACACAUCUGUGGAAACAAAACAGCUCGAUUUUGUUGAAUUGAAAGUAGAAACAGCAGAAGAAAUUGCAGGUGGUCUUCCAAAAAUGUAACCUGGAAAACAAAGUCGUGGCAUUCUCUGCCGACAACACAAAUAAGAGUGCUGAAAAGGUAUGUGCCAUUGAAAUCCUUUUUUCUUCUGAAGACAAAUGCCUUGUUGUCCUGUGAACAAUGUUUGAAGAUCCACUGACUGAACUUUGGCUGGCCUUUGUCCAUGGAAACCUGACCGUAUUCAGUGACACGAUCAAGAUGCUUGAAGGCCAGGACUGCUGUUUUGUGGAGUCAGCUGCAAUUCUGAGAAACGUUGAGGCAAAAUUGACUACACGGUGUGAAGACAACUUCAUUCCAGUUUUGGUCAGAGGACUUCUGAGAGAGCUAGAGGGAAAUGGAGCAAUGUCUAAAGAGAGCUUUCCCAAAACAUCCCAAUCACUCUUCACUACGGCUGUGAACUACUUGCAAGCAUGGGGAAAGCACACAGAUAAUCUAAAAGAUUUCAAUUGUCUCCUUUAAAAAGGCAACCUCAGCGUGAAGAGAUCCAGAAGGCAGCAGGCACACUGCAGGAAAAAUGCCCCAAUGUGACCAUCAAUGAGGUUGCAUUGUUUGACGAGGUUACUGGCCUGCAAGAGUUCCUAAAGGGGGGAUCGCUUGAAGAAUGGAAAACAUCUGAGACAGUAGUCAGAGAUGGAGCACGGUGGUUACCCACUUCCAAGAGAACAACAUCCCACACACUAACCUGGCUAGAUUAGCAUCUGUUGUUAUGUGCUUACCUGGAAGUAAUGCACCAGUCGAGAGAGUGUUCUCCCAAAUGAAUGAUAUAUGGACAGCAGCAAGAAAUAGGUUCACUGUUCCUACCAUCAAGGCCAUGCUUAAUGUGAAGACAAACUUCAACCUCCUCUGCACCAGGAGUUCAUGGAGAAGCUGGCCAAAGACAGAGCAAUCCUGAAGAAGAUACAUUCUUCUGAGAAAUAUACAGAUUAGAUUGGUAUAAGUAUAUUAUGUAGUUAACCAAUCACAUUCAUCAUCUUAUUUCUUUAUUAUGUUGUUAAGUAUUUCACAUAUACUAUUGUCUGUUUUUUUCAGUUUUGCUCAUGUUCUCUUCUGCUCUUAUUCUACCCAGACUACCAGGACCACUGAAUGGCUGUUCAGAUCAGUUCUACCCAGACUACCAGGACCACUGAAUGGCUGUUCAGAUUGGACAGUUGUCUCGUCUGUAGUGUUUCUGUAAUAUAGUUGUUUUCUCUAUCACAGUGUGCCUGUUAGACUAAAUACAUGUAACCGGAAUUGUCCCCCUUUAUUAUUUCAUAGAUAAUAACAUUGGAUAUUUGAAUUAUAUAUUUACCGCCGAAUGGGCAAGACAAUGUCUUUGAAUGGAGUAUGGUAGUAUGUGCCAGGUGCAACGGGUUUGUGUCAAGAACUGCAACGCUGCUGGAUUUUUCACCCUCAACAGUUUUCUGUGUGUAUCAAGAAUGGUCCACCACCCAAAGGACAUCCAUCCAAAUUGACACAACUGUAGGAAGCAAUGGAGUCAACAUGGGCCAGCAUCCGUGUGGAACGCUUUUGACACCUUGUAGAGUUCAUGCCCCGACGAAUUGAGGCUGUUCUAAGGAAAAAUAGGGGGGGUGCAGGGUGCAUCUCAAUAUUAGGCAAGCAACACUGAGGCAUGCAUGAGAGCAUCAGCUGUUCCGGACGAACCGUAGCCGACGUGAGUAAGAAUUUUAAACAGGUCAACAUUCACAAGGCUACGGGGCCAGAUGGAUUACCAGAACGUGUGCUCCGGGUAUGUGCUGACCAACUGGCAGGUGUCUUCACUGACAUUUUCAACAUGUCCCUGAUUGAAUCUGUAAUACCAACAUGCUUCAAGCAGACCACCAUAGUCCCAGUGCCCAAGAACACAAAGGCAAAAUGCCUAAAUGACUACAGACCCAUGGCACUCACGUCCGUAGCUUUAAAAGGCUGGUAAUGGCUCACAUCAACACCAUUAUCCCAGAAACCCUAGACCCACCAUAAUUUGCAUACCGCCCAAACAGAUCCACAGAUGAUGCAAUCUCCAUUGCACUCCACACUGCCCUUUCCCACCUGGACAAAAGGACCACCUAUGUAAGAAUGCUAUUCAUUGACAACAGCUCAGCGUUCAACACCAUAGUACCCUCAAAGCUCAUUACUAAGCUAAGGAUCUUGGGACUAAACACCUCCCUCUGCAACUGGAUCCUGGACAUCCUGACGGGCUGCCCCCAGGUAGUGAGGGUAGGUAGCAACACAUCUGCCAUGCUGAUUAUCAACAUUAGAGCUCCCGAGGGGUGUGUGCUCAGUCCCCUCCUGUAUUCACUGUUCACCCACAACUGCAUGGCCAGGCACGACUCCAACACCAUCAUUAAGUUUGCUGACGACAACAGUGGUAGGCCUGAUCACCGACAACAAUGAGACAGCCUAUAGGGAGGUCAGAGACCUGGCCGGGUGGUGCCAGAACAACAACCUAUCCCUCAAUGUAACCAAGACCAAGGAGAUGAUUGUGGAGUUACAGGAAAGGGAGCACCAAGCACGCCCCCAUUCUCAUCGACGGGGCUGUAGUGGAGCAGGUUGAGAGCUUCAAAUUCCUUGGUGUCCACAUCAACAACAAACUAGAAUGGUCCAAACACACCGAGACAGUUGUGAAGAAGGCACGACAAAGCCUAUUCCCCCUCAGGAGACUAAAAAUAUUUGGCAUGGGUCCUGAGAUCCUCACAAGGUUCUACAGCUGCAACAUCGAGAGCAUCCUGACCGGUUGCAUCACUGCCUGGUACGACAAUUGCUCGGCCUCCGACCGCAAGGCACUUCAGAGGGUAGUGCGUACGGCCCAGUACAUCACUGGGGCAAAGCUGCCUGCCAUCCAGGACCUCUACACCAGGCGGUGUCAGAGGAAGGCCCUGAAAAUUGUCAAAGACCCCAGCCACCACAGUCAUAGACUGUUCUCUCUACUACCGCAUGGCAAGCGGUACCGGAGUGCCAAGUCUAGGACAAAAAGGCUCCUCAACAGUUUUUACCCCCAAGCCAUAAGACUCCUGAACAGGUAACCAAAUGGUUACCCGGGCUAUCUGCAUUAUGUCCCACCACCCGCCAACCCCUCUUUUUACGCUACUGCCAAUCUCUGUUCAUCAUAUAUGCAUAGUCACUUUAACCAUACCCACAUGUACAUACCACCUCAAUAAGCCUGACUAACCGGUGUCUGUAUUAAAGCCUUGCUACUCUUAUUUUCAAA